UACGUAGGCAGCAAGCGUUGUUCGGAGUUAAUGGGCGUAAAGGGUGCGUAGGCGGCUUUUUAAGUUUGGUGUGAAAUCUCCCGGCUCAACUGGGAGGGUGCGCCGAAUACUGAGAGGCUAGAGUGUGGGAGAGGAAAGUGGAAUUCCUGGUGUAGCGGUGAAAUGCGUAGAUAUCAGGAGGAACACCGGUGGUGUAAACGGCUUUCUGGACCAUAACUGACGCUGAUGCACGAAAGCGUGGGUAGCAAACAGG
rnacentral:rRNA from 1 species